CACACACACACGCAGAGCAGGAGCAGGUGAGGGAAGAGGAGGGGGGAACAGGUAGGGAGAGAAAUAACAGGAAAAACAAGAACAAAACAAGCUGCCACGGCACACGGUGACAGGAGCUGAGUGCAGUCCACAGGGGACGCACAGGCAGAGAAAACAACUGUCAUUAGGACGAGGGGAAAAGGACGGACGUCACCUGUAAAACCUCCCCUGCUCCACUAAGACCUGGAGAGAGCACGAGUAGGUACAUAAAGACUCAGAACUCAAGGACAUCAUCCACACAGAGAGAAGAAGAGACGCAAGGUGCUGUGAGAGGAUGAAGCAGAAAACAUGUGAUUCAAGGACACUUAUGGGAAAAGUGGAGAGUGUGUUGCAGGUGGUCCAGUGGGAGGAGCCUGUGCCGCGGUCAACAAUCCUGCAUAGACAAUCACAGAGCUGCGCUGAUACUCGUGUGAAUACAGAGUGAGACCUGCUGAAGAGUCUAUAACUUCAACUGUUUAGGAUAAAGAUGUUCCACAUCAGCAUUGUGUGACCUUUAACCCUGGGGGAGUCCCUGCCCUUCUGCCUCUUCCUGCCCCCACACAAACACAAGUACAUUAUGAUAUUAUCUUUCAAAACGAGACUCUCUGCAGUGACUGUGUCUGACUAACUCUAAUAAGUGAUGUAAACAUGUAUGAGUUGCCUGUGAGCACUACACACACACACAGCUCACAGACAGAAUACAUUAAAUAAUGAAAUAAAUUUUUAAAAAAA